GAUGAACGCUGGCGGCGUGCCUAAUACAUGCAAGUCGAGCGAACAGACGAGGAGCUUGCUCCUCUGACGUUAGCGGCGGACGGGUGAGUAACACGUGGAUAACCUACCUAUAAGACUGGGAUAACUUCGGGAAACCGGAGCUAAUACCGGAUAAUAUAUUGAACCGCAUGGUUCAAUAGUGAAAGUCGGUUUUGCUGUCACUUAUAGCUGGAUCCGCGCCGCAUUAGCUAGUUGGUAAGGUAACGGCUUACCAAGGCAACGAUGCGUAGCCGACCUGAGAGGAUGAUCGGCCACACUGGAACUGAGACACGGUCCAGACUCCUACGGGAGGCAGCAGUAGGGAAUCUUCCGCAAUGGGCGAAAGCCUGACGGAGCAACGCCGCGUGAGUGAUGAAGGUCUUCGGAUCGUAAAACUCUGUUAUUAGGGAAGAACAAAUGUGUAAGUAACUAUGCACGUCUUGACGGUACCUAAUCAGAAAGCCACGGCUAACUACGUG
rnacentral:rRNA from 1 species